rnacentral:lncRNA from 10 species
ACUGAAGUGGUGUGCCACUGCUGGGCCUGGUCCUGAGCAUCCCAUGUGCUCAUCCAAGCCUUUGCUCCUGUCUGACCUGAGAAGAGGCAGAUGGUGGGGCCACAGGCUGGAAGGAGUUUGGGUUUCUGAGUCACUGCUGGCAGGAGAACCAUCUGGAAAAGCCACCUAGCCCGCAUCAGAUGUGACAUGAGCAAGAAACGAGCUAUGAUUGUAUUAUGCCACCGAGACUUCAGGGUUCCUGUGUUACUGCCACACUGUUGGCCUGUGCAGAUGGAUGUUGCUGGUGGCAGCAAAGGGGACGCAUGGAAAGGGGCAGAACAGCUUCCUCCCAGAUGAGUUGGCAGCCUUUUUGGAAGUCUCUGACACCUGCUGUGGCUCAUUGGACAGUUCUGAAGCACGCGGCAACAUCUAACUGCAAGGGAAGCUAAGAAAUGCAACCAUUUAGCCAGGCAUAUUGCUCUGAGCAGAGCUGGGAGAUUCCUGCUGGAGAAGGGAGGCUGGGAAGAGGUGGCAGGCAGCAGCUCUGCCAGCCAGGGUGAAUUCCUGUUAAAAUGCCUGUUUAUUCCCAUUUUGGCUUUCUUUUGCUGACCACAGCUUUGGGGAUCUUUGGACAAUGGGUUCAUAUCCAUAGCAGGUGAAGAGUAAGGGAGAACUAACAUGCCCCCUGCAAGAACACAUUAGCCCUUGUAAAUCAAUCGUUCCUCUGCCUUACAGAUUACCUGC